UCAUCAACAUUUCCUUAUUUCAUACUUCAUGUGAAAGUAGCCAUUUCUCAGGCUGGACAAAGUGAAAAUAGUGCUAAAAACAUCAAAGUGAAACACUGAUUACGAUCUAAUAGGGGUCGUGAAGCUUAAACAACUUUCUUCUUAAGACGCCACAAGAAAUGGAGUUUUCAGAUUCCCUUGCUGCAGUUAUUUGGAUCAACAUCCGUGUCUGCCUCCCGUUGACUUUUCUGCUCAUGGCUUUCUGCUGCAUGGUCCGAUUGGAUCGUGUUCCCGUCUCCUACUUCAUCAACCUUCUGCUCUCCAAUCUAGUCCAGCUCAUAAUUCUGAUCGCUCUACCUCUACUUCCGGAUUAUUACUGGAAACGUCUAAUCUCUGUCCAUAUCUAUGCCUGUUGUGCUCUGGCCAGCCUUUACUUCAGGAUGAUCAUAGCUUUAGAAAGAUGUUUUUUCAUCUCCCGCCCACUGUCAAACUGUCUGACACAAACCAAAUACAUGGUGAUACUCUGUGCUUUGGUAUGGGUGUGUAGUUUUGGAUUUAUCCCUCUUCUUUUUAAAUUUGCCAAAGGACUGCUUGUGCUAGUUAUUGCCAUCUUUCCAGCCCCUGUCUUUAUUGUUUGUCUCUUUUGGGCCCUUAAAUGGAUAAAUACCAACAUGUCAGUGUCAGCUGAAGAAAAACAUGGAGAUAUGGGAACUUUGCUCUUGCUGUGGGUUAAUUACAUGGUCUCAAUCUUUCCUGUAGUUAUUUAUUUCAUAUAUCUUGGUGAUUUUAAUCGCUAUUUUUUCAAGAUUGCAGAUAUUUUUUUGACAUUUUUUCUCCUCAGUCCAUGUAUGGACUUGAUCUUGUUUAUUUUCAUGUGUAAAGGUCUGAUUGGUAAGCUGCUGAUACUGUGCUGCUGCAAGAGUGAAGCUAAUGAUGGAUCAGAUCUCAACAGGUCUUCAGUUUAAAUACAUCAGCAAGUGAU